rnacentral:rRNA from 1 species
CCUACGGGUGGCAGCAGUAGGGAAUUUUGGGCAAUGGGCGAAAGCCUGACCCAGCAACGCCGCGUGAAGGAAGAAGGCUUUCGGGUUGUAAACUUCUUUUGACAGGGAAGAGCAGCAGACGGUACCUGUCGCCUCAGCCACGGCUAACUACUUGCCAGCAGCCGCGGUAAUACGUAGGUGGCAAGCGUUGUCCGGCUUUACUGGGUGUAAAGGGCGUGUAGCCGGGCUGACAAGUCAGAUGUGAACUGCGGGGGCUCAAACCCCGAACGGCAUUUGAAACUGUUGGUCUUGAGGAUAGGAGAGGCAGGCGGAAUUCCUAGUGUAGCGGUGAAAUGCGUAGAUAUUAGGAGGAACACCAGUGGCGAAGGCGGCCUGCUGGACGACAACUGACGGUGAGGCGCGAAAGCGUGGGGAGCAAACAGGAUUAGAUACCCCAGUAGUC